UGUAGGCUGCAACUCGCCUACAUGAAGUCGGAAUUGCUAGUAAUCGCGGAUCAGCAUGCCGCGGUGAAUACGUUCCCGGGCCUUGUACACACCGCCCGUCACACCAUGGGAGUCGGUAACACCCGAAGCCUGUAGUCUAACCGCAAGGAGGACGCAGUCGAAGGUGGGAUUGAUGACUGGGGUGAAGUCGUAACAAGGUACC
rnacentral:rRNA from 1 species